rnacentral:RNase_P_RNA from 1 species
UCAGUCGGCCGGGCAGCCGCGGCGAGCGAUCGUCGAGGAAAGUCCGGGCUCCACGAAGAUACGGUGCCGGAUAACGUCCGGCGGGGGCGACCCCAGGGAAAGUGCCACAGAGAACAAACCGCCGGAUCUUCGGAUCGGGUAAGGGUGAAAAGGUGCGGUAAGAGCGCACCGCGUUCCUGGCGACAGGAGCGGCACGGCAAACCCCACCGGGAGCAAAGCCAAAUAGGGAUGACGCGGCCCAUUCUUGCGCAAGCGGAACGAGCCGGUUCUCUUCGGACCAGUCAUCCGGGUUGGCUGCUUGAGGCGUCUGGUAACAGGCGUCCCAGAGGAAUGGCUGCCACGCGGGGGCAACCCCGCCAUACAGAACCCGGCUUACAGGCCGGCUGAUAUC